GACGAACGCUGGCGGCGUGCUUAACACAUGCAAGUCGAACGGAAAGGCCCUGCUUGCAGGGUACUCGAGUGGCGAACGGGUGAGUAACACGCGGGUGAUCUGCCCUGCACUUCGGGAUAAGCCUGGGAAACUGGGUCUAAUACCGGAUAGGAGCCAUUUUUAGUGUGAUGGUUGGAAAGUUUUUUCGGUGUAGGAUGAGCUCGCGGCCUAUCAGCUUGUUGGUGGGGUAAUGGCCUACCAAGGCGGCGACGGGUAGCCGGCCUGAGAGGGUGGACGGCCACAUUGGGACUGAGAGACGGCCCAGACUCCUACGGGAGGCAGCAGUGGGGAAUAUUGCACAAUGGGCGCAAGCCUGAUGCAGCGACGCCGCGUGGGGGAUGACGGCCUUCGGGUUGUAAACUCCUUUCGCUAGGGACGAAGCUUUUUGUGACGGUACCUAGAUAAGAAGCACCGGCUAACUACGUG
rnacentral:rRNA from 1 species